GUCGAGCUUAAGAAAAUUUUUAUAAGAAUUUAAAAUAGUUAAAAAUACUAAAAACUAAAAUAAAAAUAUCUUUGGUUGGGGCAACCACGAAGAAAAAAAAACCUUCGUUCUAAAAAAGAAAUUUACAAAUAAAAUAUUUUUUAAAAACUAUAAGAUCCAGUACAUUCUGAUCAAAGAAAAAAGUUACCGCAGGGAUAACAGCGUUAUUCUCUUUAAGAGUCCAUAUUGACAAGAGAGUUUGCGACCUCGAUGUUGGACCGGGACACCCAAGAGGUGCAACAGCCUCUAAAGGUAGGUCUGUUCGACCUAUAAAGUCCUACGUGAU
rnacentral:rRNA from 1 species